AGGAUCCAGUGUGGACGGCUGGGCGAACUUUAGAGGGGCUGGCGUGUGCUCCCGAACCUGGAAGACCCUUUCCCCUCCUCCUACGAGCGAGCGACAUGCAUAUUCAGCUGGGCCCUAAAUCCCAUCACACAAGCGUCCUGAGGAGAUGGAGGCAAAGGGAGAUUUGGUAAACAGAAGAGAAGGCAACGUGGCUGUACGACCAGGAGUUUCAGUACCCACCAGAAGCCGCCAGAGGUAAGGACUAGAGCCUCCACAAGAAGUGUGGCCCUGCCAACACCCAGUAAUAGCGAUUUUGGGUUUCUGACCACCAGAACUGUGAGAAAAUAAAUUUCUGUUGUUUGUGGUAA